AGCGGCCUAGGGUAGCUAGGAGUGGUUGGGCUAUCGUUCUAGGUAGUCCCUUCUACCAGCACUUAUCCCGCGGGGCUCAUAACCCCGAGAUCGGAUGGUUCAAAUCCUCCGGCCGCUACCA
rnacentral:tRNA from 1 species